GACAGAGGUGCCAAGCGUUAGGCGGAAUCACUGGGCUUAAAGCGUGUGUAGGCGGAUUGCUAAGUACCUUGUGAAAUCCCACGGCUCAACCGUGGAACUGCUUGGUAUACUGGUUAUCUUGAGCCACCUAGGGGCGAGUGGAACAAAUGGUGGAGCGGUGAAAUGCGUAGAUAUCAUUUGGAACGCCAAUGGUGAAAACAACUCGCUGGGGGUGUGCUGACGCUGAGACACGAAAGCCAGGGGAGCGAACGGG
rnacentral:rRNA from 1 species